CCCGCCACUAUGCCUGUCUGUGAGUGACUGAGUAUAAUCCAGUGGAGGCUCAGAGUGAACCCGGCUUUAGGAAACAGGUCUGCCCGAAAAUAAUGGACAACUCUGUGCCGUAAAGACUGGAACAAUU
ensembl:snoRNA